rnacentral:lncRNA from 1 species
AUAAACUGUUGUGCCCAAGAUCGCGAAUCUGAGAAACCACCAAGGAGCCGACACCGAUGCAAGCACACGAGGGUUUCUUUACAAGCUCGAGCCUGGGUCCAAGUAUACCCCACGCAGUAGAGCAGGGACUUGGACCCCGAUACUAAGAGGCUUAGCAACUUUAUAGGGGCCAGUGGUCAAUGGGAUGCGCAGAAAGUUGCACAGUCAGGCUGGUCCACUGAGCUGGAUUUACGAUUAGGGUGUGUCCUGGCCUUUGACUAGGGCCGGGCAGUGCCCUAAGCACAAGGCGGGUGCAGCCCAAAAUAGUCAGUCCUGCUCUGCUUGUCCAGGGGUAGGGGAUUUUGUUAAGUUUCCUGGGUCCCACAGCAACCAUCUUUGAUGAGACAUUUCCAGGAUUUCAUUCGUGAUUAUAAAUAUUGAUCUUUUCUCUUACAAUUGAAAUCAACUGGCUCAAGUCCAGUAAAAAUAUGAAUGAGGCUAAAGAUUCAUGGUUUUCAGCCUCCUGGCGGUUUCAUAUUUUGACUGAUCAAACUUCAUUUCAUGAGGCCUUUCUUAUAACUAGGAUAAGUCUUAGCAUUUCUAUGAUUUAAUUGCAAUUAACGAUGACAAAAUGCAUUAAAAUGCUCAAAUGGUUGUAUAAAUUCUGCUGCAUAAAAGGGGCAACAAGUCAUUUGAUAAGAAAUGAUAUGAGAAGUGAGAAUCUACUGCUUGCAAUUGUGCUCACUAUAAGGAAUCUUGAGUCCACUAAGGAUACAUGGCAAUUAUAACAGUAUACUAAGAAGUCAAGAAAGAUGCUCUCAGUAGCCAUACAAUGCUAAUGGCAACAGGGUUGGAAGUAACAUUGGAAAAGAAGAUCCAAGGAUUGGCAGCCUAUAACCCAAAAUUCAACUCUCCACCUGCUUUUGAAAAUAAAGUUUUAAUGGAAUACAGGCAUGUACAUUUCUUUACAUACUGUAUAUACAUGUUUUCAUUCUACAAUGGCAAAAUUGAGUAGCUGCAACAGAAACCAUAUGGAUCACAAAGCUGAAAAUAUUUAUUAUCUGUCCCUUUAUAGAAAGAGCUUACCAACUCCUGUCUAGAUCAAAGGGAUUGUCUAUAUCCUGAAAGUUAUCUGGAGAAGAAUCUAGAGACCACAAGAAAGCUGUGAACAUCAAAUAAAUGAAUAAAACCAUAUUAAAGUAGAUGUAUG